rnacentral:rRNA from 1 species
UACAGAGGGUGCGAGCGUUGUUCGGAAUCACUGGGCGUAAAGCGCGCGCAGGCGGGCGAGUAAGUCAGAAGUGAAAUUCCGGGGCUCAAUCCCGGAGCUGCUCCUGAUACUGCACGUCUGGAGACCGGUAGAGGCUGGUGGAAUUCCCGGUGUAGCGGUGGAAUGCGUAGAGAUCGGGAAGAACACCCGUGGCGAAGGCGGC